AAAAAGUUUUAUUCUGGCUUAAUAAUUAUAUUAAUUUUUACUUCACAUGUAAAUUUAAUUUUGAUUUUAAGGCGUUUUUAAUAAAUGUCUUAUUUUUAAUUCGCAGUGGAUAGAUCUGGACAACCAAUGGAAAUUGGGUCUGGUAAUAAAUUUUAGUACUAACAAAAUUUGUGCCAGCAGUUGCGGUUACACAAAUAGUGCAGUUUAAUUUUUACGGAUACAGUUAAUUUUAUAGAAAAAUUAUUAUAUGGAAAUUAUUAGGUGAAAUUUUUAAUUUUUUUAAAAUUUGUUAUUAAUGAGGCUGUGAAAUUUUAAAUUUAAACUAGGAUUAGAUACCCUAUUAUUUAAAAUGUGAAAGUUUUUCCAGAUAAUUAUUAGUUAUGGUCUUUAAAAUCAAAGAUUUUGGCGGUAUUUUAGUCUAUUCAGAGGAACCUGUCCAGUAAUUGAUAGUCCACGAUUAGAAUUACUUAUUCUAAAUGUUUUCAUAUCGUCGUAAUUUGAAAAUUUUACUAGAAUUUAAAUUUUCAAGAUUUUUAUUAGAAAAUAUAUCAGAUCAAGAUGUAGCUUAUGAAUAAGUUGAGAUGGGUUACUAAAAGUUUAUUUUUGGAUUAUAAUUUUAAAUUUUAUAUGAAAUUGGAUUUGAAUGUAAUUUUAACUAUAUAGUUAAAAUGAUUUAAGCUCUAAAAUAUGCACAUAUCGCCCGUCACUUUCACUUUAAAGUGAAAUAAGUCGUAACAAAGUAGGCCUACUGGAAAGUGGGCCUGGAAAG
rnacentral:ncRNA from 1 species